UUUCCGUAGGUGAACCUGCGGAAGGAUCAUUAUUGUAUAACCGUGUUGCGAGGGCUGCCGCUGAACCGAUAGGUCGCGCACGCACGAGUGCCUUCACAAACAUCUAUCCAGCCCCUAUGGGCACCACCGCGUGGGUCCCCCUUUGGCUUGCUCGGCGGGGGGCUUACGUUUUCACACAAUCUUUGUAUGUAGUGUAGAAUGUAUUUUUUGUUUUUGCGAUAACACAAUCUAUAAAACUUUAACCAUCGGUUCUCUCGGCUCUCGCAUAGACGAAGAACG
rnacentral:misc_RNA from 1 species